UACGUAGGGUGCAAGCGUUAAUCGGAAUUACUGGGCGUAAAGCGUGCGCAGGCGGUGAUGUAAGACAGAUGUGAAAUCCCCGGGCUCAACCUGGGAACUGCAUUUGUGACUGCAUCGCUGGAGUACGGCAGAGGGGGAUGGAAUUCCGCGUGUAGCAGUGAAAUGCGUAGAUAUGCGGAGGAACACCGAUGGCAAAGGCAGCCCCCUGGGAUGAGACUGACGCUCAUGUACGAAAGCGUGGGGAGCAAACAGG
rnacentral:rRNA from 1 species